ACGCACGUUGCAACCCCGGGCUUCUCUGAAAUUUAAAGGAAGUGAAAGCCCCAUUGCACGUGCUAAAUUGAUGCCAUUCGUGUUGCAGUUCAUCUCGUUAAUUCCACGAUUGAUCUGUGUCAAAGUAAUGGCUACAUCGUUUAAUUGUCAUUUUUAUUUUUGAAUUUGUUUAUAUGAAUUAUGUUUCAUUAUUAAAUAUAUGGCUGUGAAGAUGAAUAAUCAGCUUAAUGCCAGUUCUGCUUCUGAAAAAUCGUGAUUGUUAGAGCUGUUAAAAUGUUCUGAGCCUCUUUACUAUAUUUAAUUAAAUUAUUAUUUUAGUAUAAUGUCUAAUUUCAAUUAACAUUGGUUGCCUAUGAUGAUAUAAUCCAACUUGUUUGAGGUGUUGUGGAGCCAAGCCCCUGUUUUCAGGGAGAACCUACUUGGUGAAGCUUCAUUCAUAUGACUUCAAUGGAUUUCACUGAGGCAAACAUUAUGCAUUUCAUAUCAAUUAUGGUUGUGACAUUACACUUUCUUAUUAUUUCAAUUUCAAUGUGUUAUUGAUAUCAUAUUAGCUCCUUAAAAUACAUGAUUGAAAUGUAAAUGUUUGGCUCUCUAUUAAUUUGGAUAAGUUUUGAAAUAUGAGGAUUAUUUUAUAUAAAUCAGGGUUUUCGUAAAGAAGUGACAAUUGUUUAAGAAACAUUAUUUUGACAUAUGAGCAUUAAUGUCUUCCUAUGGCUUUAUUCAUAAGCUUUGAGGAGUUCUUUUUUGAUAAUGCUCUAAAUAAAUAUUUAUAGGAAUUAGUUAGGCUUCUUGUGCUGAUUGAAAUGUGCUUGGAGUUUGGAUUAUUCCUACAUUUCUUUAGUUUGAUGGAAUGUGGCAUUUUAAUUGUACGUUUUUGCACAGUAAUAAGUGGUCCUGAAAUUUUAGAAAUUUUGUUCAGGUCAAAACCUCGUUCAGUAAAAUGCUAAAUCUUAAUAUUGGUUUUGGUCAUUCUAUUUGGUUUAAUAGAGCAUUGUGGCAUGCCACCAAAAUCGAAUUAGUCCAUCUCUUUGUCAAAUGUUUUUCAAUUAUGUUUUGUUAUAUGUUUUUGUAACAUGACUAGGGACUUAACUGAGAAACUUUUGUCAAAUAGAAACUAGUUUAUAUAAGUAUAUUAUUUUUUUCAAUGAUGAAAUAUUGUUUUUUCAAUGAGGAAAGUAUAUGGCAAAUGAUGAUUAAUUUUAACGCUUAUUGAUAUACUGAAUAAAAAGUGUUGACAAAAACCUCUGACUAACUGAUGCCAUUUUCAUUUUUCCUUAAACUUUUUAAUUAUUUGUUCUGUUUUUGUUAAUGUUGUUGGUUUUUAUAAGGCUUGGCAAAUGAUGUUAAAAAUUUGUCAUUCUAUAGACAGAUGAUAUUCUGUGAUGAUAAAAAACUCCGCUUAUUAUCUGAUGCCUUCCUUGUAUUAGCUUUAUUAAUUUGAUUUCAGUUUUGAAUUUUUAAUGUUUGUUUGAGUUUGUCUGAUUGGUAUGAAAAAUUUAGGUUUGAUAUGAGACUUCUAUGCCUUGUUGAUUGUCUGCCACUUCCAACUAUGGAAUGUCUCUGAGAUUCAAAUUCAAUCAAUAGCAUAAAGUUUUAAUUUUAAAUGAUGCUAUCUUGUUUUAGUUUGGAUUGUUUAAUUGAAAUUGUGUAAGCUCUGCUAUAAUAAUGUUGCAUCAAUUAUGUCUGGACAUAUGAAGUUUUAUUUUGAUAUAAUUUGCUAAUUUCUGAGCAAUAUUAUCGUUUGUUUUUAAUCAUUUCAUUUAAUCACUGAUACCUAACACUGAUUGGCCAAAUGAUGAAUCUUUCAAAUCACUGAGACCUCAAACACUGAUUUAAGUUCUAUGAAUAUUUUAUUUGAAUAGGAAAUCUGUUAUUUUUUUUAUCAAUGUAGCCUGUGAUGGAGACUAUAUAUAUGGUUCUGAAAUGCCAAGUUUUUCUUGCAUUUGUUGAAAAUUUUGAACUAGGACGGUCUGAGGCUAUUUAAAUUCAUUUGCAACAACAUAUUAUUUUGUUUUUAUAUGGAAGUGUGUAUUUCUGUAUUUAUAUUUUAAUGUUUAUGGUCAUCUGUUUGCACUUUGAUUGCUGUGGAUGAUGAGAGUAAAUUUUUACAGUUAUCCCUGUCUGAUACUGCAGUGCAGGUGCUGAAAAUUUGUAAUCUGACACUCAUUGGUUCAAAUUUGAUCAAUUGUGUAGGUUAGUUCAUUGUGUUUGGCGUGAGAUAGCAGCAUCAAAGCUGUACCUGGACUUGCAAAAGCCAGUAGAAAAUAUGAUAUUGAACAAUUGAAUCAGAUGAGAGCAGCUUAGACGUUAAAAGUUUUAUUCCAUUAGGCCAAUUGGAGUAUUUGAUUUGUUAUGUUUGGCAUCUUGUAUUUUUAGUACUUCUUUGAUUGGGUGGCAUUUAGGAUAGGAAGGGGAAAGAGUUUCCUACCAUAGGAAAGUUGAUUUUAGCCAUUAGAUUAAAUCAAGUACAUACUAUUAUCAUACACUCUCAACACAAUAUAUUUUUCAUA